UUGGGAGGACGAGCAUCCGCUGCUGUCUCCUUUACGGAGGAGGUAGGAGAGGAAAGUCUGGACUUCGUAGGAGAGGAUACCAGCGAAAGGCUGGGGGCUGAAAGGCUACGGAAAGUGCAACAGAAAACACGUCGUCUAUCUAGCCUUUGGGCUUGUAGAGUAGGCUGAAAAUCUUCGCUUAAAGAGCGGGGCGUACCUGGGGAGACCCAGGGCGGUGUAAACCCUAUCCGAAGCAAGAGUUGGCUGGCGAUUCCCUUGUACUCCGCAAGUGCUGGCCGCAAGUUCGCUUGAGGGUUCCGGUGACGGAACUCCUAGAGGAAUGGUUGCUCGUUGUCGCGUGGGGUUUCCCAUACGGCAAGUGACAAAAUCCAGCUUAUAGUCCUCCCUUUUUU
rnacentral:RNase_P_RNA from 1 species